UGUGCCGUCGCUCGCAGAAUUUAACGGCGGAUUUAACGAACACCAGUUUUAGUUCGCAAGUCCCAUAGCGGCUGAGAUAAAAUAUUCGGAAGGUGCAAAAACGUGGUGUGGACAAUAAUUAUUUUUUUUCGGGGGGCCCGCACACGGGCCCACGGGGCCCGACGGCCCGCCGCUAUCACUCAUUCGAAAUAAGCUACGAUUAGCUUCAUUUUUAUGUUCAGUUUCACCAUCCUGCUUCAACGGCGCCCGAGAUACGAGGGCCGAAAGAAUAAAAACAGGGCAAAGUCGAAAUUCCCAUAAGGAAUGCAUCGGAGCCCACUUUGUUUGGGAUCAAAAUUCCAAGAUAGCCAAUCUUUAAGUUUGCCCAAAAACAAAUGCCCUGCGAGUAUGAAAUCCGGGUGACCUCCUCAGGGUCACCGGUGACCCCUCAAAGUUCGAAAACGCGAUUUUUCGGUACUCGCGCCCCCCGCGGGGUCCCUAUGGGCCCCAGCAACCCCAAACUCGAGAUUCGAGCAGGCGACGAGUGGACGAAGCCAACGGUGCUCGGAAAACAUUUUUCCGCACCAUAGCAAAAAAGUUAUUAAACGGGCAAAUUUGCCCAUUUCCUACCUGAGUACCUUUCGGCAGGUAUAUCUCCGGACCUGAGCAAGAUUUCUCGCAAAACGCAACCAACUUAAUGCGCAAUUUAUCUGCGAGUGUUUUAAGACCAAAUUCGACCUGAUCGGAUGAACAACCGCGGAGGAGUAGCGUUUGGCGCGCGGCGCGGAACGGUUUUUCGCCUCCCAUAAGCUUAACAUGGGGAUUUCGAAUUCGGGUUUUCGGGCUGCAAAAAAAAUUUUCGGCCACGAUGACCACCCCACUCUCAUUCGCAUGGCGAACAGUGCCUGCAAACCGAUUUUGGCCGAAAUCUGGGCCAUAGGCGAAUUACGGCGGAGCAUUGAAAAUCCGCGUUUUGCUCAGCACGCAAAUGGCCAUGCUGAAAAUACGCGCGGCGGCGCCGCGGAGCCGCCGGGCGCUGAACAUCGAAUUUGACCAUCGGAUUCACACGAGUGCGUGCGCACGUGUCUGAAACCGAAUUUUCAGCGGUCUAGCUCUGCCCAAAUUCAUUUUAUAAGGGAUUUUCGGUUUUUGGUGUGCAAAGCGCAUGCACGGAAGGAGGUUCGUGCGGUGCGGCACCGAGCCACACAGAUUUAUUUUUGCCAAAAUUCGAGUAUUCACCGCGGCGUCGACCGCGACCCCUCAUUCGAAAGUGCUCGCCAAGCACUUUAACCUGGCGUGCCCAAACGACCUUUCUCAGGGUCCCCCGACCUGAAACCCUUACCCAGGUAGAAUUUUAACGAAUUUUUCGCGGUUUGUGCGUCAGUUCGAGAGUGAAAGUGCGGAGCCACCGCGCGGCGCCGCCAACAAUAAGUUUGCCGUGCGGCGAAGCACUUUUCGGCAAAGCGCUUUUCCGCGACUCGCCGAGCGGCGCCGAAUGCCAGUUUUUUUCGAAUUGCACGAAUCAACCUGAACCGCACCGCGCAAAUUCAGCCCCCGCCGCGAUCGUUUUUGAUUUUCAACAUCUGCCAAUCACUCGAACGGAGCGCCUCGGCUUUUUCCGUCUAACAAUUAUUGUACCAGUGGAGCGAUUUUCGCGCGCGACCCCUCCCCGGAAGCGUCUCGCCGGGGCGCACACCCCCACCCAUCCCGGCGACCUUUCUCAGGGUGGCCGCCCUGAGCUCGCUCCCCGAGCCGGUUUUCUCGGCGUUUCCGGCCCCCGCCCUCGAUCGGGUUUGGGGGGAAUCCGAGUUAGCCCCCGACCCCGAGUGGGCCCCCGCCACCAAGCGCAAGCGCUGAAGCGCUUGUGCCGCUUGUAAUAUACUAUAUUAUAUAUGUAUGAGUUACAUAAAACGGCUAGCUAGCAGAGACAUCCCCGCAGUCAAAGCCGCAGUCACUUGCAUUCAUGAACUUGUAUUAUAGUGCGUGCAUCUCGUUCUAAUCAUGUCUCAAGAACCAACGGAUCAGGUAAUUUUUUUGUGAUUUAUCAAAUUCUUUUCGACAAAUUCAAAUUGGAAAUUUCCUCUAGGAUUGCUUCGGACCGAAUAGUGAAUACCUCAAGCUCAUCUCUUCGGAAGGGGCGGUCCUUGUGAAAAGAACGGACGCUUUGAAAGUAUCUGGCUUCAUAAGGUACCUGUUGGAGAAUCCGGCUUUGGAACCACUCAAGGAUGACGAGUUAAAUGAAAUAAAGUUUACCCAAUUCUCGUCGAAAGUGCUCAAAAAGGUUUGUGACUUCAUUAAGUACAAGGCGCGCGUCAUGAAAAUGAAUGAGAGCUUGAAGAUCGCAGAUUUUCCUCUCACGGUUGAGGAGGCUGCAGAAGUCAUUUAUGCGGCUGAAUACUUACAAUGCUGAAUAUUGGGGGUUAAACUGGUGUUGUUCUUUUUCAUAUUAUUAUAAAUAAAGCGGUAUUAGGUAAUAAACUAAAA